AGAAACUCUGACGUUGUAAAGCCUCUUCGCCUUACUCAAGACUCCCUGAAGGAGAAUAACAAGCUGACUGUCAGAGGUUUCAUCCCUCGCAAUGCUGAAAGGUGACCAUCAGACACCAGGUGGACAAGUUUGUGAUCGAUCUUCCAACGGGCAAGACGAUGAGCAUGGCAAACAGACUUGGCAUCUCCACCAUCAACAUGAUCAACAUCUCCGGCGACGUCUCCGUCAUGGAAUUCUUACUGCUUGAUUGAUUGAUUGAUUGAUUGAUUGAUUGAUUGAUUGAUUGAUUGAUUGAUUGAUUGAUUGAUUGAUGGAUGGAUCAGUCGAUUCUCACACAUUACCACAACACUGUUCAAUGAUGCUGUGAAUCUGUGAAAAUAAAGUGGUCGUAA